UCGAGGGGCAGCGCGGGAGAAGCUUGCUUUUCCUGGCGGCGACCGGCGCACGGGUGAGUAACGCGUAUGCAACCUGCCAGUAAGCGCGGGAUAGCCUUCCGAAAGGGAGAUUAACACCGCAUGAGGCCGCGGAUGGGCAUCCAUCUGCGGUGAAAUGAGAAGCUUACUGAUGGGCAUGCGUCUGAUUAGGUAGUCGGUGGGGCAGCGGCCCACCGAGCCGACGAUCAGUAGGGGUUCUGAGAGGAAGGUCCCCCACACUGGUACUGAGACACGGACCAGACUCCUACGGGAGGCAGCAGUGAGGAAUAUUGGUCAAUGGGCGAGAGCCUGAACCAGCCAAGUCGCGUGAGGGAAGACUGCCCUAUGGGUUGUAAACCUCUUUUGACGGGGGAUAAAGUGCGGGGCGUGUCCCGUAUUGCAGGUACCCGUCGAAUAAGGAUCGGCUAACUCCGUGCCAGCAGCCGCGGUAAUACGGAGGAUCCGAGCGUUAUCCGGAUUUAUUGGGUUUAAAGGGUGCGCAGGCGGCCUGUUAAGUCAGCGGUGAAAUCUCGGGGCUCAACCCCGGAACUGCCGUUGAUACUGGUAGGCUUGAGUGCGGAUAAGGAUGGCGGAAUGUGUCAUGUAGCGGUGAAAUGCUUAGAUAUGCCACAGAACACCGAUUGCGAAGGCAGCUGUCCGGGCCGUAACUGACGCUGAGGCACGAAAGCGUGGGUAUCGAACAGGAUUAGAUACCCUGGUAGU
rnacentral:rRNA from 1 species